UUGUAAUUUAGAAGUAUCUUACAAAUACAUCUAAUUUUAUCCUUAGCACAUUAUUGUUUUAAAGUCGACAGAUAUUUUUUUCUGUAGCUACUUCUAAGUUCAACAACAUAAUGCUUUGAACAAAUUAAAUAGGACAAACAUAUCAUGAUUGAUAAUAAAGCACCCUUUAAUCCAAAAAAAUAUUUAAACAAAGAUCUUAUUGACAAACCACCACCUCUUGACGUGUGGAUACAAGGCACUAUUGAGCAAACAGUUGGAAAUGAUAUAUUAAUUAUUUCUGACAUAUCUGGAAGAGUAAAAGUUGUAAAAUGCCAAUCAGCUGAUGGAGUUGUGGAUAAGACUUCUUUACGUAAAGGAACUUACUGUUGCAUAUUAGGCAUAGCAACGAAAACAAGAGGAUUGCCUGAAGUCCAAGCUAUAAAAUUUGUUGAUUUAACAUCACAGCCACAAAUGAAAACUGCAUGGGAAAGUGAAGUUAGAGAAGCGGAACUAUUGCUACAAGGAAAACUCGUGCCAGAGAUUUAAACAACAUUUAUGAAAUACAUUUUAUUAUUCCAUCACCUUAAUUCAAUCUUUAUCUGGAAUGAAUAACAAUUAUAUAAAGAUAACAUUAUCUGAUUGUAAACAUAAUAUCUCUUAAAAUAAAUUAUAUUAAUUUUUUGU